rnacentral:rRNA from 1 species
GACGAACGCUGGCGGCGUGCUUAACACAUGCAAGUCGAACGGAAAGGCCCUGCUUUUGUGGGGUGCUCGAGUGGCGAACGGGUGAGUAACACGUGAGUAACCUGCCCUUGACUUUGGGAUAACUUCAGGAAACUGGGGCUAAUACCGGAUAGGAGCUCCUGCUGCAUGGUGGGGGUUGGAAAGUUUCGGCGGUUGGGGAUGGACUCGCGGCUUAUCAGCUUGUUGGUGGGGUAGUGGCUUACCAAGGCUUUGACGGGUAGCCGGCCUGAGAGGGUGACCGGCCACAGUGGGACUGAGGUACGGCCCAGACUCAUACGGGAGGCAGCAGUGGGGAAUAUUGCACAAUGGGCGGAAGCCUGAUGCAGCAACGCCGCGUGCGGGAUGACGGCCUUCGGGUUGUAAACCGCUUUCGCCUGUGACGAAGCGUGAGUGACGGUAAUGGGUAAAGAAGCACCGGCUAACUACGU